rnacentral:rRNA from 1 species
UACGUAGGGACCGAGCGUUGUCCGGAUUCAUUGGGCGUAAAGAGCUCGUAGGCGGCCACUCAAGUCGAAUGUGAAACCUCGAGGCUUAACCUCGAGCCUGCAUUUGAUACUGGGCGGCUAGAGUCUGGUAGGGGGAUCUGGAAUUCCUGGUGUAGCGGUGGAAUGCGCAGAUAUCAGGAGGAACACCGAUGGCGAAGGCAGGUCUCUGGGCCAUAACUGACGCUGAGAAGCGAAAGCAUGGGGAGCGAACAGG